AGUGUGACAGAAGAGAGUGAGCACACGCAGGCUAAUUGUAUACGUGUUUCCUUUUGUAUACGUGUGCUCACUUGUCUUUCUGUCACACA
rnacentral:pre_miRNA from 1 species